rnacentral:rRNA from 1 species
CCUACGGGGGGCUGCAGUGGGGAAUAUUGCACAAUGGGCGCAAGCCUGAUGCAGCCAUGCCGCGUGUGUGAAGAAGGCCUUCGGGUUGUAAAGCACUUUCAGCGGGGAGGAAGGCGUUAAGGUUAAUAACCUUGUCGAUUGACGUUACCCGCAGAAGAAGCACCGGCUAACUCCGUGCCAGCAGCCGCGGUAAUACGGAGGGUGCAAGCGUUAAUCGGAAUUACUGGGCGUAAAGCGCACGCAGGCGGUCUGUCAAGUCGGAUGUGAAAUCCCCGGGCUCAACCUGGGAACUGCAUUCGAAACUGGCAGGCUAGAGUCUUGUAGAGGGGGGUAGAAUUCCAGGUGUAGCGGUGAAAUGCGUAGAGAUCUGGAGGAAUACCGGUGGCGAAGGCGGCCCCCUGGACAAAGACUGACGCUCAGGUGCGGAAGCGUGGGGAGCAAACAGGAUUAGAUACCCCUGUAGUC